GGAAAGAGGGCGGAGGAGAGGCACCCCUCGGUGCUGUUUGAUGGUGCAGUGUGCUUCUCAGCCUCCGUCAGAGGCCACGGGCCCCAGCCCUUUAACCCUUUCCUGCCUGUCACCCUCCCCCACCGCGCUGGGGCUUUCCAUUUCCCCAGCCGCUCCGGGAGGAGACUUUCCUCCCCACCGCCCGGGCCUGGCGCCGGGGAGAAGGACCGCAGGGACAGAGGCGGCGGGGCGGCAGCCGCCACCCAGCAGGAAGGAGAAAGGAUGCUCCGAGUUCCCAAGUGGCGGUGACGGGCCCAGAGUCCCAGCCACAGAGAGGUCGGGACCUGAGGCUGGGCGGCGGUGGCGGCCAACGGGUGCCCUUUGGGCAUCUGCAGUCCACCGGAGUAGGGAAGUCCAGGUCUUGGCCCACAGUCAACCCAGCAGGUUGGGCAAGUUAACCAAGUGGAGCGCUGCCUGGGAAGACGGAGUUCCCACACCCCGAGCCCCAGGGGCGUCCAGACCCAGGCCUAGCUGCUCCAGGAGUUGGGUCUGACUCAUCUUCCCAGUGAGCCUGCAGAGGCCCAGGAGCAAACACUGGAACCCAGGGUAUGUCUUCCAGGGUGACCUUGAGCACAGCCCACAUCCCUUCUCGGUUUUUUCAUCCCAGGUUAGUAACGUUUACUCCGUUGGUUGUAUCGAUGACUUGGAAAAAUGGGUGUGGAAAUGCUAGGGAAACUGGAAAGAAAGUGCUUUACAGACUUCGAAGGCACUGAGGCCCACACACCUUUAGAAAUUUGCCCGUGACCUUCAGAGACUGCUGGGGCUGGAACCCAGGUGUGCCACCUUCCCAGUCCGGACACCCAAAGUCCCAGGAGACUGGAGAGGUCUGCACUGUUCUGGUCAACUCCGAGAUGGCGGUUGGGUAAGAAAUGGUUAAAACCAGGAAAUUCCAUGUUUCUAGAGAAUGUUGGAGGGACUUUCCCAUGGCAACACCUGGUGGUUUCCUCUGGCAGCCCCACCCCUAGCACAGUGACACCAGAGGGGGAGCCCGGCUGAGAACUGGUGCUCAGGCAGAUACACCUGCUGAUAACCGGCAGCCCGAGGCAUUGCUGCGGGGCCAGCCCCGGGCGCUGCCCUGCUGCCUCUCACAGCAGGGCCAGGAAGAACCUUCCUGGACCCUUGGCUCUCCACCCAGGAUUCCCAGCUUUCCACCCGCCUGGCAGUGGGAGAAUUGCACUUCCUUGGCACCCUCUGCUGAGGCGGGGCCAACCAAAGCCCUUCGGUGCUGUUACAAGACCUCACCCCAGGGCGCCUGCCCUCUGACCCUGUGAUUCUGUUAGACUUGGUGACUGCUUCGUCAGGGUCCCCACGUGACUGUCAUCAGCAGAGCCCCCUGCUGGCCCACAAGGGACAUGUACCUUUGAUGAGAAACCGACCUUUGUUGUUUUAAGCCAGAGGUUUGCAACAGAACCCAGCCUAUCCCUAAAAGUCUCGUUUUUCCCUGAUGAACUUUGCGUCCUUACCAGCACUCCCUACUUUUCUCUCUCCAGCAAGCCCAGUCUGUCUUUCCCAGGGUCUUAGGUACCCUCAAAACACAGUGAAGGUGUGUCUAGCAGCUGCUGGGAAGCCCGCACUGGGUGCUGAGGACACAAGGCUCCAUCUCACAGGUCACCACCUACACUCAGGAGUGGAGAACUCACCCAUAGCUCAGAGUGGCAGGACAGCCUCACCUUUGACUUCUCCAGGACCAAGGGACCAGCAAGAGAAGCUCAAGAUGGAGCUCUACUAUUAAAAUGAAGGAGGGGGAAGAGAUGACAGGUUGGGAGGGCAUGAGCCAGAUGGAGGUGAUGGACUUUUUUGAGUGUGGUGUCUGGUCCAGGGCUCAGGGUACGAUUCCUCAUAUUACCAUUGAACACUGGGCAUCCCCUUGGAUAUGAGAGAUCUGAUCCCUCCCCAGGGGCUUCUGGUAUUGGAAGAAACCCAG